rnacentral:rRNA from 1 species
GAUGAACGCUGGCGGCGUGCCUAAUACAUGCAAGUCGAGCGAACAGACGAGGAGCUUGCUCCUCUGACGUUAGCGGCGGACGGGUGAGUAACACGUGGAUAACCUACCUAUAAGACUGGGAUAACUUCGGGAAACCGGAGCUAAUACCGGAUAAUAUAUUGAACCGCAUGGUUCAAUAGUGAAAGACGGUUUUGCUGUCACUUAUAGAUGGAUCCGCGCCGCAUUAGCUAGUUGGUAAGGUAACGGCUUACCAAGGCGACGAUGCGUAGCCGACCUGAGAGGGUGAUCGGCCACACUGGAACUGAGACACGGUCCAGACUCAUACGGGAGGCAGCAGUAGGGAAUCUUCCGCAAUGGGCGGAAGCUUGACGGAGCAACGCCGCGUGAGUGAUGAAGGUCUUCGGAUCGUAAAACUCUGUUAUUAGGGAACAACAAAUGUGUAAGUAACUAUGCACGUCUUGACGGUACCUAAUCAGAAAGCCACGGCUAACUCCGUG